rnacentral:rRNA from 1 species
GCUACGGGGGGCUGCAGUGGGGAAUAUUGGCCAAUGGGGGGAACCCUGAUCCAGCGACGCCGCGUGAGUGAAGAAGUAUCUCGGUAUGUAAAGCUCUAUCAGCAGGGAAGAAAAUGACGGUACCUGACUAAGAAGCCCCGGCUAACUACGUGCCAGCAGCCGCGGUAAUACGUAGGGGGCAAGCGUUAUCAGGAUUUACUGGGUGUAAAGGGAGCGUAGACGGUUAUGUAAGUCUGGAGUGAAAGCCCGGGGCCCAACCCCGGGACUGCUUUGGAAACUGUGUAACUGGAGUACAGGAGGGGCAGGCGGAAUUCCUGGUGGAGCGGUGAAAUGCGGAGAUAUCAGGAGGAACACCGGCGGCGAAGGCGGCCUGCUGGACUGAAACUGACGUUGAGGCUCGAAAGCGUGGGGAGCAAACAGGAUUAGAUACCCCUGUAGUC